rnacentral:snRNA from 1 species
AUACUUACCUGGCAGGGAGAUACCUGAUCACGAAGGUGGUUUCUCCGGGCGAGGCUUAUCCAUUGCACUCCGGAUGUGCUGACCCCUGCGAUUUCCCCAAAUGUGGGAAACUCGACUGCAUAAUUUGUGGUAGUGGGGGACUGCGUUCGCGCUUUCCCCUG